UGGUCCCUGUGGUUGUGUGGC
rnacentral:miRNA from 1 species